rnacentral:pre_miRNA from 1 species
AGAGGAAUAGCUGGGUCAAAUGGUGGUUCCAUUCCCAGAUUUCCAAGGAAUCUCCAUAUUGCUUUCCAUAUUGGCUUGCACCAAUCUGCAGUCCCACCAGCAAU